UAGGGAAUCUUCCACAAUGGACGCAAGUCUGAUGGAGCAACGCCGCGUGAGUGAAGAAGGUUUUCGGACCGUAAAGCUCUGUUGUUGGUGAAGAAGGAUAGAGGUAGUAACUGGCCUUUAUUUGACGGUAAUCAACCAGAAAGUCACGGCUAACUACGUGCCAGCAGCCGCGGUAAUACGUAGGUGGCAAGCGUUGUCCGGAUUUAUUGGGCGUAAAGCGAGCGCAGGCGGAAGAAUAAGUCUGAUGUGAAAGCCCUCGGCUUAACCGAGGAAUUGCAUCGGAAACUGUUUUCUUGAGUGCAGAAGAGGAGAGUAGAACUCCAUGUGUAGCGGUGGAAUGCGUAGAUAUAUGGAAGAAUACCAGUGGCGAAGGCGGCUCCUGUCU
rnacentral:rRNA from 1 species